CAAGUCGAGCGAGGCGGCCCGCAAGGGUCAGUCGAGCGGCGAACGGGUGAGUAACGCGUGGAUUAUCUGCCCGAAGGUGGGGGAUAACCCGGGGAAACUCGGGCUAAUACCGCAUGAUACCGAGAGGUCAAAGGGGGCUCGCAAGGGCUCUCGCCAUUGGAGGAGUCCGCGUCCGAUUAGCUAGUUGGUAGGGUAAUGGCCUACCAAGGCGACGAUCGGUAGCCGGCCUGAGAGGGUGAUCGGCCACACUGGAACUGAGACACGGUCCAGACUCCUACGGGAGGCAGCAGUGGGGAAUUUUGCGCAAUGGGCUAACGCCUGACGCAGCAACGCCGCGUGGAGGAUGAAGGUCUUUGGAUUGUAAACUCCUGUCGGCAGGGAAAAAGCGACUCGACCUAAUACGUCGGGGAGUUGAUUGUACCUGCGGAGGAAGCCCCGGCUAACUCUGUGCCANCAGCCGCGGUAAUACAGAGGGGGCAAGCGUUAUUCGGAAUUAUUGGGCGUAAAGGGCGCGUAGGCGGCCUGGCAAGUGGAAGGUGAAAUCCCUCGGCUUAACCGAGGAACUGCCCUCCAAACUGCUUGGCUUGAGUCCGGGAGAGGUGAGUGGAAUUCCCAGUGUAGCGGUGAAAUGCGUAGAUAUUGGGAGGAACACCAGUGGCGAAGGCGGCUCACUGGACCGGAACUGACGCUGAGGCGCGAAAGCGUGGGGAGCAAACGGGAUUAGAUACCCCGGUAGUCCACGCCGUAAACGAUGAGUGCUUGGUGUAGCGGGUAUCGACCCCUGCUGUGCCGAAGUCAACACAUUAAGCACUCCGCCUGGGGAGUACGGUCGCAAGGCUGAAACUC
rnacentral:rRNA from 1 species